GACGAACGCUGGCGGCGUGCUUAACACAUGCAAGUCGAACGGAAAGGCCCUGCUUUUGUGGGGUGCUCGAGUGGCGAACUGGUGAGUAACACGUGAGUAACCUGCCCUUGACUGUGGGAUAACUUCAGGAAACUGGGGCUAAUACCGGAUAGGAGCUCCUGCUGCAUGGUGGGGGUUGGAAAGUUUCGGCGGUUGGGGAUGGACUCGCGGCUUAUCAGCUUGUUGGUGGGGUAGUGGCUUACCAAGGCUUUGACGGGUAGCCGGCCUGAGAGGGUGACCGGCCACAUUGGGACUGAGAUACGGCCCAGAAUCCUACGGGAGGCAGCAGUGGGGAAUAUUGCACAAUGGGCGGAAGCCUGAUGCAGCAACGCCGCGUGCGGGAUGACGGCCUUCGGGUUGUAAACCGCUUUCGCCUGUGACGAAGCGUGAGUGACGGUAAUGGGUAAAGAAGCACCGGCUAACUACGUG
rnacentral:rRNA from 1 species